rnacentral:lncRNA from 1 species
ACUGCAAGGGGUGCUGUGAUGAGUUAUUAGAGUAAAGUGAUAUUAGGGAAUAGCAGUAACCUACUUCUGUGUUUUGUUGGUAGCAUUCUCUUUAUUCCUUAUCUAGUUGCUGUUUUGUUUUCUUCCCAUUCAAAUCAUUGUCAGAAUCUUUAUGCCAGAUUGAUUUUAAGUGUCUCAGUAAAUUUUUAAAGUAAUGGUUAUGUCCUUAUGCUUACAUUGAAGUUUAUUAGCUUCUUUAACUAUAUAUUCCCUAAUAUUUGGCAUGAGAAGAGAGGGCAUGCUAGUGUGGGGAGUCGAGCACGAAAGCCUCUGUUUUGUCACUCUCCACCACAGUUUCCAGACCGCAAUUAAAAUAAUAUAAGAGGAAAGGGGAGAAAUAGAAAGGAAUUUGGCAUUCGGGAAGUAAGACCUUUCAUAAUAAACAUGGUGAAGUAUGGCGACGCACCCUGCAUAUUUCGGUCAUCUCAUGACCUCCAGACCCAAUAAUUAUUUAUUGCAUGCUACGAACACAUGCAACUGUCGAGAAGGAAGAAACUCAUAUUCCAAAGAAUCGAAAAAUAAAACAUUCUUGGGAGAAAGGGAGAGAGAAAAGGUCACAUUGGGGUUGCGGAUAUUUAAGAGGGACCCCAGCCACGAUCCGGGUGGUGGUUACAAGGUGAGAAAAAAGAAGCAGCGGUGGUCAUGGCAAUGGCAGUAGUGGUGGUUAUAAGUGUUUCCCGACAGCUCAUCUAAUACGGUGCUCCUCAUCCGUUGAUCAUUGGCCUGUUUUGUAUUCAAUCAUCGUCAACGUUAAUCCCCGUCAAUAUUAAUCCUCUGCAACACCAAUUUCUUUCUCUUCCCACAAGAUAUAUGCAUGUGGAUCAAAAUUUGAGGACUAGAGACUCUUAAAUAUUAAUAAGGAUUAGAGACUUUAAUAAUGGUGAAACUUCGGGAUCUAUAUAAUUUUGACGGAUCCUUAAGAAGAGUUGUCGGCAUAAAGAAAAAACAGGUAUUUUUCUCUCGACAAAGAUUAUCUUGUAUGUGAUGGAAAUCUCUCAUUAUAAUAAAAAGGAAGUUGUUCUAACCAAGGAACAUAG